UACGGAGGGAGCUAGCGUUAUUCGGAAUUACUGGGCGUAAAGCGCACGUAGGCGGCUUUGUAAGUUAGAGGUGAAAGCCUGGAGCUCAACUCCAGAAUUGCCUUUAAGACUGCAUCGCUUGAAUCCAGGAGAGGUGAGUGGAAUUCCGAGUGUAGAGGUGAAAUUCGUAGAUAUUACCAGGAACACCGAAUGGCGAAGGCAGCUUGCUGGGCCUUAUCUGACACUCAGGCACGGAAAGCGAUGGGGGAGCAAACAGGG
rnacentral:rRNA from 1 species